UUAUAUAUAUAUGUCUCAAUUUAUUUAUUUUUAUUUGUAUUCUGGGCUGAUAUGCAUUCAACUGCUUAAGUUAAGAAAUCCAAUCGUAGUACUAAUUCAACGUAGGACACAUAGAAACAGCCAUUCAUUCAAUAAAUCUUAACUUAAGUAGUUUUAUGCAUAUCAACUCUGUUUCUUUAUUAUGGUGUGUGUAUUGUACUUGUUUGAUUUAUAUGAUAGAACCUCCAAAAAACUAUUUAAUGAACAAAUACUCUGAGAAAUUUGCUAAAGCAAUUUAAUUAAUCAGUCGUUCUUACAAUAUGAUGAAAUGUUAGAAAAUUAACAAAUUAAAAUCUUGUAAUUAUUAUAAUAAAAGAGUCAUCAUAGAAAUCUGGUAACCAAGCAGGAAUUUAAAUUAAUUAACUCUUAGCUAUUGGAAUCCUGUGGUAGAAUAUCAAUUUCAUUGAAUGAUUGGCUCUAACAUGAAGGCCUAAUUUUAUUGUUGGAUAAAAUACCUGUAGAGAAACACCACUUCAACAUUUGUAGGAAAACAAGAAAUAAGUUAGAAUUAAGAGUUGAAAGCAGUUGUCAUGAGUGGGGUCAGACACACAACCUCAGCUUUUACAGGCAAGGGAUAAAUGUAGAUGAACUACUAAUACCCCUUGGUCACUAAGGCCCAAAUACUCAUUGCAAGCACCUAUAAUGAUAACAUAAUCUGUUCUUUAAUAUUACUAUGUCAAAAUUUUUCAUGUAGAGUGGGGUGCUCAUUUAUCCCUAUAUCUUUCCAUGUUUUCUACAGUAUAUGUUCAGGUCUAUAUGUUUUUGAAGUAUACUGAUAUUUCUUCAUGAAGAUAACUUCAAAUGCAAAAUAUUCUGAAGCUUGAAAACGUGUUUGUUUGAAAAUAAUCAUCUGAAAAGUUAGAUUGAAGGGUGUUUGAAAUUUCCUGAUGUUUUGUUAAUGGGGGUCACAUAUUCGCCAUUUUUACACAUCUAUUUUAAACCAAAUAACUGCAGCUUUAAACAGUACAUGUAUUUAUCAAAUCAUUUUCAUAAUAGAUGAAUAGCAGACAUUUCAAAGGUGUAAAGGGCUGAAAUUAAGGGCCAUCAGUCAAAGAAUUACUAAGAAAUACUUCUUUGAAAUCGUGUUUUUCAUUCAGGAAAUUGAACGUAAAUCAUUGUCCGUUUUUCUGUCUUUUGCAGUAAGUGCCGCAUUUUUGUCUCAGUGUAAAGAAUAAUCAUAUUUGUUAUAAAAAUACAAUUUAACAGCAUAUUUCUUCCAUUUCAGCCAUCGUUUGAAGUUUUUACACCUAAAAAUCAUAAAAAGGCGAAUAUGUG
rnacentral:lncRNA from 1 species